CUCGAAGAAAAGUAGGCUGUUCCUAAGAUAUGAGAUAAAUAGGAUCAAGGAGGAUGGAUUGGCUCGUUCGAUCGCUGUCGUGAAACAUAUUAUUAAUGAAGGUGGAAAGAAGAGAUUUUCCCUGCCUGCCCAAGAGAUGCCGGUUGAGAAAAAAUCGAAGACUUUUUUCGUUGCUUGUAAGGGUCUGCUAGCUGCCCUUAGACUUGUGAUUGACUUGACUUCUUCCAAGGGGACGAAAGAUGAGACUGCUAGAUCUGAGCCAGUGACGCU
rnacentral:lncRNA from 1 species